AGAUUGAACGCUAGCGGGAUGCUUUACACAUGCAAGUCGAACGGCAGCGCGGACUUCGGUCUGGCGGCGAGUGGCGAACGGGUGAGUAAUAUAUCGGAACGUGCCCAGUAGCGGGGGAUAACUACGCGAAAGCGUGGCUAAUACCGCAUACGCCCUACGGGGGAAGGGGGGGAUUCUUCGGAACCUCUCACUAUUGGAGCGGCCGAUAUCAGAUUAGCUAGUUGGUGAGGUAAAGGCUCACCAAGGCGACGAUCUGUAGCUGGUUUGAGAGGACGACCAGCCACACUGGGACUGAGACACGGCCCAGACUCCUACGGGAGGCAGCAGUGGGGAAUUUGGGACAAGUGGGGGAAACCCUGGACUCCAGCCAUCCCGCGUGUGCCGA
rnacentral:rRNA from 1 species